rnacentral:rRNA from 1 species
GACGAACGCUGGCGGCGUGCUUAACACAUGCAAGUCGAACGGAAAGGCCCUGCUUGCCGGGUACUCGAGUGGCGAACGGGUGAGUAACACGUGGGUGAUCUGCCCUGCACUUCGGGAUAAGCCUGGGAAACUGGGUCUAAUACCGGAUAGGAGCCAUUUUUAGUGUGAUGGUUGGAAAGUUUUUUCGGUGUAGGAUGAGCUCGCGGCCUAUCAGCUUGUUGGUGGGGUAAUGGCCUACCAAGGCGGCGACGGGUAGCCGGCCUGAGAGGGUGGACGGCCACAUUGGGACUGAGAUACGGCCCAGACUCCGACGGGAGGCAGCAGUGGGGAAUAUUGCACAAUGGGCGCAAGCCUGAUGCAGCGACGCCGCGUGGGGAAUGACGGCCUUCGGGUUGUAAACUCCUUUCGCUAGGGACGAAGCUUUUUGUGACGGUACCUAGAUAAGAAGCACCGGCUAACUACGUG